GAAAAGAGAAGCAAGGGCGAAUGGAGGAUGCCUUGGCUUCGGCAGGCGAUGAAGGACGCGGUAAGCUGCGAAAAUAGCCGGGGAUUGGCAAACACGAAUUGAUCCGGCCGUAUCCGAAUGGGGCAACCCACUGGAUUGAAGAUCCAGUACCAUCGACAGAUGGGGCGAACCCGGGGAACUGAAACAUCUUAGUACCCGGAGGAAAAGAAAGAAAUAGUCGAUUCCCCCAGUAGUGGCGAGCGAAGAGGGACGAGCCUAAACCGGAGUGUUUACGGACAUUCCGGGGUUGUAGGAUCACCGACAAAUAUUGAUAGCAGGAACCGGAAGCUGUUUGGAAAACGGCGGCGCAGAGGGUGAAACUCCCGUACGGGUAACGAGCUGUCGAUCACGGUGACACCUGAGUAGGGCGGGGCACGUGGAAUCCUGUCCGAAUCUGCGGGGACCAUCCCGCAAGGCUAAAGACUGCCGAAGACCGAUAGUGGACCAGUACCGUGAUGGAAAGGUGUGUAGCACCCCGAACAGGGGAGUGAAAGAGAACCUGAAACCGUUCGCCUACAAGCGGUGGGAGCUGCAGUUGUUGCAGUGACCGCGUGCCUUUUGCAUAAUGAGCCUACGAGUUGCUUCAAUGUUGCGAGGCUAAGUCGUUCAGCGACGGAGUCGAAGCGAGAGC
rnacentral:rRNA from 1 species